rfam:Gossypium raimondii Chr13_contig_1325, whole genome shotgun sequence.
UAUUAAAAUUUCAUUCAUUUCUACUAUUAAAAAUUGACAUGAUUAACGGAAUAACUAGACAACUACACGUGGCAUGCCACGUAUACCUCAUGAUGACAUAGAGAUACCAAUUUUUAACCGUAGAAAUUGAUAGAAAUUUUAACA